ensembl:lncRNA novel transcript, sense intronic to HS3ST4
GGACAUUUGAACAGUCAGGGCUGUUAGUUACAAGUGACAAAAUCCCAACUUACCACCUCAAGCAAAAGUGAGAAUUUAUUGGCUUGCAAAGUUGAAAAGUCCAAGAGUGUAUGUGAUUAUAUUCAGGUUCUCACAAAAGAUGCCAGGCCGGUGCAGUGGCUCACACCUGGAAUACCAACACUUCGGGAGGCUGAGAAGUGUGAAUCACCUGAGGACUUAGGUUUGUGAAACACAGAGAUCUAAACUUCUCAAAGACAAAAGCAAGAGAAAGACUUGUUUCUCUCUGUUUCUGCAACUCCUUUCCUACGAUAAUGACUGCUUAUUUGUCCAAAAGGAGGAAGCACCCCCAGGUAAAAGGAAUUGCAGGGAUGAGAUAAGCAGCCGAGAUGGAAACUACCUAGGCUGUCCAAGUACACUGAGCACACUCAGCUCUGGGGAGCCCUACUCUAGGCCAAUCGAUUCAGAAUCUCAGGGAAUGGGUCUGGAGAAGUAACAUUAAAAAACGAACAAACAAAACAAAACCCUGAAAUCCUGUAGGUGAUUCUGAUGCACUGAAAUAAUGGGAGCCAUUGGUCUACAUCAGAAGUACGGAAACUUUUUCUGUGAAAGGCCUGAUAGUAAAUAUUUUAGAUUUUGCAGGCCGUGAAGUCUCUGUGGCAACUACUCAACUUGGCUGUCGAGACAUAGAAAAAAAAAUGAGUGUGGUUGUGUUUCAAUAAAACCUUAUUCACAAAAACAAAUGGCAGCCACAUUGGGCCCAUGGACUGCAAUAUUGGCCUCUGAGCCAAUAGCACCCAAGAGUUUCUAUCAUAAUACUUUAACAAGCCUGCAAUUUAGGACUGUCCCAGUCAAACCAUGAUCUCUGAUCACAUUAAGCAUCAUGGUCAUUCUCCAUGGAUGAUGGCUUAAGAAUCCUUGCCCGAUCUCGGGAGAGUCUGCUUCAGUGGGUCUGGGCCUGGGAGUCUGCAUUAUAAUGCAGGUCAUUAAGAUGUAGGUAGUAGACCUUAUGGACCACACUGGAAGAAUCACUGAUCUACUGAUGCAUAAUUGUUCCUGGCAAGCAGCAAAAGCUUGGCUGAAGAAGCAGAACUGGCUCUUAUUCAAAAAUCCUUUAAGAUCACAGAUAGGCAUUCUGUGCCCCCCGCCUGCCUUAUGUUCCAGCAUCCUGCCUCCAGCGUUCUGAAACCUUUCACGCCCCAGCAUCAAACCCUCCCAGACUGAAUGUUGACAGAGAAGAAAGAAAGCUAUCCCUUCUCUUUAACUCUGAAAUUAGUCAAAGACCAAAGUCCUUGUCUAUUUCAGAAUAUUGAAAAAGAAAGUGGCUGUUUAACCACCUACAUAAUAAAACUGAUGCUGGCAU